rnacentral:misc_RNA from 1 species
GAUGAAGAACGUAGCGAAAUGCGAUAAGUAAUGUGAAUUGCAGAAUUCAGUGAAUCAUCGAAUCUUUGAACGCACAUUGCGCCCAUUAGUAUUCUAGUGGGCAUGCCUGUUCGAGCGUCAUUUGUACCUUCAAGCUUUGCUUGGUGUUGGGUGUUUGUCCCUCGGGACUCGCCUUAAAGUCAUUGGCAGCCAGUGUUUUGGUUUUGAAGCGCAGCACAAGUCGCGAUUCAAGGCUAUCCGCCCGCUUCCACAAGCCUUUUUCACUUUUGACCUCGGAUCAGGUAGGGAUACCCGCUGAACUUAAGCAUAUCAAUAAGCGGAGGA